GGCGCCCUUCCGUCGUGCUGGCUGCCAUGGAGGAGGACUACGAGGCGGUGCUGUGCGUGAAGCCGGCCGUGCACGUCUACCGAGUGCCGCCGAGGGCCUCCAACCGCGGCUACAGAGCUGCGGAGUGGCAGCUUGACCAGCCAGCAUGGAGCGGCAGGCUGCGCAUCACCGCCAAGGGCAAGACUGCCUUCAUCAAGCUGGAGGACAAGACCUCAGGAGAGCUUUUUGCCCAGGCCCCCGUGGAGCAAUUCCCUGGCAUUGCUGUGGAGAGUGUGACAGACUCCAGCAGAUAUUUCGUCCUCCGGAUCGAGGAUGGCAACGGCCGCCGUGCUUUCAUUGGAGUUGGAUUUGUUGAUCGAGGGGAUGCUUUUGACUUCAAUGUUGCUCUCCAGGACCAUUUUAAGUGGGUGAGGCAACAGAACGAGCUGGCCAAGCAGUCUGAGAACCCUGACCAGGCACCCAAACUGGACCUGGGCUUCAAGGAGGGGCAGACCAUCAAGCUUAACAUUGCGAAUAUGAAGAAAAAGGAAGGAGCAACAGGGAACACCAGGCCACGUCCUGCAGGCCCUGGGGGCCUAAGCUUGCUCCCACCACCUCCGGGAGGAAAAUCUUCCAUGCCAACUCUUCCUUCUGGAGAGCAGCUGCCAUCUUCACUCUCCACACCCACCCGACUCCCUGGUACCCCCAUCACAGACUCCCUGCUGUCCUGGCCACAGCCCACUGCUGCUCCUUCUGCCCCAACCACCGACGUCUGGGGUGACUUCACCAAAGCUUCAGGGUGAGGCCAUGUGGGGUUUGCAGGUUGCUUGGGCCGAUACCUGCAGCGUUAGAACCCAAUCCUGCUGGUUUUACUCUCACUGAAAUAGCAGCGGGGUGGGGGCACCCCCCCCACCUAAACAAGUUUUAAAAGGUCAGAUUCAAACCAGACGCAGGCAAAUGCAGGCUGGGUGCAGUUCUGAGCCAGCUCCUCGCAGGCACUGGAGAAAGAUUGUGCUGAUUUCUGCAGGACCAAAGCAGCAGUGGGAAGUGCUCCUGCUGCCUAAGGACACCUCACUUGUCACUUAUGGUGGCACUGUACUCCCCUGACCCCCUCUGACAAGAAACAAGACCCCAAAAUCUGGUGCUGGAGUUGAAAAGCAGAAAUUGGUGCUGGUUGAUAGAUGAGCACGUGCCUUACAAAACUCCACGCCAGCGCCCUCAGAGCUGGGGGCCUUUUCUGGGUAUUUUCUGCCUGGAUCACUGCAAACCGUUGAGGCUUCAGUGACCUUUCCUGUGCCUUCCUUCCUUCCUUCUUUACUGCACUAACAGGGCUGCACAAAUGUGGCAGCUUCGUGGCUCCCUGCGUCUCCUGGCUGACGUCAGAGUGCUCAGGGCACUGAUAGAGAUCUCAGCUGGCAGCACUUUUGCUGCCCAAUUUGGGCAUUUUCCUCUCAAUUCUGAUGCAAUACAGGUGAGUUGAGGUGUGCAGCGCGGGGCUGCCCCUAUCACCACUUCCACUUUCUCCUCGUGCAUUUGGACCACUGAAAUCUUUCAGUCUGGCAGGCAGUGGGGAGCAUCCCCCUGAAGACUUCUUGCGUGCAAGGCCUUGCUUUGCCUCCUGCUCACAGCACCAUGCAGGCAACGUCCUGCCCAGAUGCUGAGCAUCACCCCUGAUACUUCCUAGCACUUCCCUGCAAUGUGAGGGGUGAGGAGCACAACUGCUGUGUGCAGGUAAAUGUGAGCACAGUGCUCAAGUUCCUGUUUUCCUGCUCCAGUAAGGUUGGGUGUUUUUUCCCCCCUCUAUCUUGAAGAGAGAUUUUUCCUCUUCUUGCAGAGACUUUACUAUUGGAAUAUAUGCAAUGAAAGACAGACUUGGUCUCCUGAACAGAGCUGGGCUUGAGAUUCCUCUUUGAAAAACCUCCCAAGUAUUUUCUUACCUAUUUAUAUUACGGUGAAGGCCUUUCACAGUACAGAGUUCUGCUAUUUUUUUCAGUGUUUCAGACUUAAUUAUUAUUUCCAUUCUCAACUGGAACGGUGAGCAUUUCCAUUUCAGAGCUUUGCCUGGCAGCUCACAGGGCCGGGUGAGAGAUGUCCCACUUCCAAGUGAACAAUAAAAUCAUUUUGAUGCCA